GUGUCAGCCGCCGCGGUAAUACGGAGGGUGCAAGCGUUAUCCGGAUUCACUGGGUUUAAAGGGUGUGUAGGCGGGCUGUUAAGUCAGUGGUGAAAUCUCAAGGCUCAACCUUGAAACUGCCAUUGAUACUAUCAGUCUUGAAUCUUGUUGAGGUGGGCGGAAUAUGUCAUGUAGCGGUGAAAUGCUUAGAUAUGACAUAGAACACCAAUUGCGAAGGCAGCUCGCUAAACAAGUAUUGACGCUGAGGCACGAAAGCGUGGGGAUCAAACAGGAUUAGAAACCCCCGUAGUCC
rnacentral:rRNA from 1 species